AUGGACUUUGGGUGAUUUGAUAUUCAUGUUCUAGAGUUCAACGGCAUGAAUGAUGGCAACAUGGAGAAACCUAAGAGUAUUUCAUUUGUUUUUGUUAUUAGUGAAUAUAUGUUUGUAAACAUUUGUGCACCCACGCAUGACUAGAUGGUAUCCCGUUUGCCCUCAUUGAAAAUAAGGGUAGGCGGCUACGUGCGUAAGUUUGUAAUCAGUGAAACAUAAUUUAAGAUAAGUAAUUUGUAAUUAAAACUGAGUCAAAAGACGAGUCUUCUCUUGUGUACGUAAAUUGUGUAAACCCAUCGAAUACAAUAUUAACUUUUUUUGUGACAUUUUAAGUAAGAUAAAUAUUUGAUUUGGAUGAAAAUAUUGACUAUUUGACUUGACAACGAAAUUAGAUAAGAUUUCUUUUUAAAUAUUAUUUUCCAACUAUGCAUUAACGAAUUUUUUUAAAUUUAUCUAUGAUACAUUAUUUUCAUCUAUCUUACUAAGUCUGUAAAACUCAUCCAAAUCUCCAUUUUCCCAUAUGCAAAGUUAGAAGAAAAUAUUAAGAAGCCAUGUUUAGAGCAUACUAGUGUUUUUUUCUUAUACUCAAUGAUUCCAUUUUAUAAUUAGGUUAUCCUUUAUUUUUGUACAUUAUGAGUAGAUAGCCUAUUUAUCCUUUAGAUAUAACUUUUGUAAAUUUUGUAUGAGAUGUAUAAUUCCAUUGCAAUAUAAAUAUUUAUUUUAUGUCUACUCAUUUGGACUUUUGUAAAAAAUGACUUAUGUAUGUUGCUUUUGAGUGUAUAUAUCUAUAUAUAUAUAUAGAAAAUAUGAAAGUCAUCAUUAAUUGUUUAAAACUAAAAUAUUAUAAAUGCAUGUAAUAGUUUCUUAAUGUGUAAGAUUUUGAUUAAAAUAUACUUGAUUUGCCUGUUAAUUUAGAUAUAUCAACCACGUAGGAAAAUCAGAAGGGGGUGGCAAGAGAGAUGCUUUCUCUCAUUAAUGAAGUAGUUAAUUAACAUAUAAGAUUGAAAUUGAUAUUUUAUUCAUGUGCAGAUUAAUUGAUGUAAUUUGAUUUUGUGUCGUUUGAUAAAACUUACAAAGACAAGAUUCACGAAUUCCGAACUGAAGAAGAUAGAAAAUGAAAAGGAUUCUUCUCAAGUAGCUCACUUAAACUAAUUACAUGAUAUGCAAUUAUUAAUAUGUGUAUAUAAAAAAAAUCACAGUGACAAGAAAAUUACGUUGACUUUAUUUUUGGUACUUAAAGAUGACCUAGAAAGCAACAAGGGAAAAAGAAAGAGGGCAAAAGAAGAAAUUAAUCCCAUUAUAAUUAGAUGAACUUUCACAUGUUAUACAUUUAUAAAUUUUGAGUAAUAUAACUUCGUUUCUUAUUUUUAUAUAUUACAAAUUGUUAUUUAGUGGGUACAAUUUAAUAAAUAUUUAAGUUGUUAUAUGAUUAUUCUACAAGUAAUAUAUUUAUUGUGCAUGAAGCAAAAAGAAAAGUUGUUCUUCAUGGAGCAGAAGAAAAUGCGGAUAAGUGUAACUCAAACUACAAGUCAAGAUGUGCAUUGAAAAGGUACAAUAAAAAGAUGAAAGAGAAGAUUCCAGAGUCUAGUGAGAAUUCUUUAGGAGAGUAAUUCAUUAGGAUGAGCUUACAUUCAAAUAAAGGUGUUUCAGUUAAUGAUGAGGAGCAAAAGAUAUAUAUUGGUGGUCCUUGUUAGAAACUAUGAAGGAUCUCAAAUAUUUCUUUCAAUCUAAAUCUAGAACCAUCUGAAAAUCUCUCUUAACUCAACAAAUGGAUAAUAAUAUAAUAUUUCAACCUAAACCUAAAAUCACUAAUACUCAUAUUUUGGCAAUCACGCAUUGUGUAUAUAUUGCUUUUGCUUUUGCUUAAGAUGUUAUAUAUAUAUAUAUAUAUAUAUAAAUAUUAAUUAAGUAUUUGUUUAGAAUGUAAUCUUAUAUUUACGAUGUAAUCUCACAUUAACUAACUAUAAUAACCUAUAGUAAUAAUAUACUUUUUUACUAGCUACUCUUGUAAUAUCAUAACAUUUUAAGUCUAAAUCUAAUAAAAUUUUAAAACUAAUUAAGUAUUAUAUAACCUAUCUUUUGUUAAUAUUAUUCUAUCCAUACAUUAUCUCCUCAUAUAAACUCUUUAUAUGGUGAUCAUAUUAGGUAAGAAUCUAAUAGCAAUAUUAAUAGAAUUGAUUCGAUUGUUGUAGCUACAAUGGAUGAAAAGGCAACAAUCAAAAUAGAGAAAAUGACUGUGAAGAUCAUAGAUGAAUUAAUAUUAGAGAACUUAAAUCUGUCAACGAUACAAUGUAAUGAGAAAAUCAUUUUGUCUUUUGUAAAUAAAGAUUUCAAUUUGCAUGGAGCUGUUAGCAGAUGAUGUUGGGGUUAAAAUUGAUGUUGUGGGUUCUACAAAUGAAAUUACUUACUCCACAGCUGAAGAAUUAGAGUUGUUAAUAAUUCAAGUGAAUGGAUUUACUGGAGAAAGCUGUCCAGAUUUUGAGUCAAUAAUGAACGAGGUUCUUCGUCUUCUAGACCACCAUCAAUUCUAAUCACUAUAUUUAUACUUUUUUAAAUUUUCAGACAUUUUUAUUAUGUUAAACCCUUUAUCAUUAAACAUCUCUUUUUAUUGCCAUUUUGACAUGCUAUUAAAAAUUUUAUGCCUUACAUAUAAUAUACCUACCAAUAUGCGUGCAACGUAUAAUUUAUGUAUGAUAUAUGCAUACAAUAGUAUGUAUUAUUUCAUUUUCGUACAUGUCAUAUGCCUAGUGGCAUGCAUGCAAUGCAUGUUAAUACUAUUUACAUAUGAUAUAUGCAUUUUAAGUAUAGACAACUUGUGCUGCCUAAUAAUAAUAGUGAUCAUAUAAUAUGCACAUUAUAUAUACAAUAUACUCAUCAUAAAACAUGUAUGAUGAUCCAUGUGAAUACAUGCAAAUGUAUUGUGUAAUUAAAAGAAAGAAUUUGGUAACUAAUAGUAUCUCCAACAUAUCAAAAUUUAUCAUAAUUUGGGUAAGUGUAAUAUUAGUUAUAUGUAAAAAUUCAUCCAAAUUACAUCCCUAUAAAAGAAAUUCAACUUGCAUUUACACAUAUGAAAUGAAA
rnacentral:lncRNA from 1 species